CGAGUGAGAAUGCCGGAAUGAGUAGCGAGAAUUAUGUGGGAAUCAUAAUGGCCGAAAAUCUAAGGUUUCCUGGGGAAGGUUCGUCCGCCCAGGGUAAGCCGGGAGCUAAGGCGAGGCCGCAAGGCGUAGUCGAUGCACAUACGGUAGAAAUUCCGUAGCCGGCUCAAUCGUUAAGCAUACUGACACAUGAGAGUAGCUCUACCGGGCGUUGGUUGCCCCGGGCGUAAGCGAGCCGAAUGAGGCGAAGUGAGUAAAUCUUGUGGCGAGAAAAGGUGUGUGUAUUGGUUGGGCUGCCCGUACCGCAAACCGACACAGGUAGAUGAGGAGAAGAUCCUAAGGCCAUCGGGAGAAGGGUUGUUAAGGAACUAGGCAAAUUGACCCCGUAACUUCGGGAGAAGGGGUGCCUACGAGAGUAGGCCGCAGAGAAUCGGCCCAAGCAACUGUUUACCAAAAACACAGGUCUCUGCUAAAUCGAAAGAUGACGUAUAGGGGCUGACGCCUGCCCGGUGCUGGAAGGUUAAGAGGAGGACUUAGUGGCAACACGAAGGCCCGAAUUGAAGCCCCAGUAAACGGCGGCCGUAACUAUAACGGUCCUAAGGUAGCGAAAUUCCUUGUCAGGUAAGUUCUGACCCGCACGAAAGGCGUAAUGAUUUGGGCACUGUCUCAACAGCCCGCCCGGCGAAAUUGUAGUACCGGUGAAGAUGCCGGUUACCCGCAACUAGACGGAAAGACCCCAUGGAGCUUUACUGCAGCUUAAUACUGAGAUUCGGUAAAUCAUGUACAGGAUAGGUGGGAGACUAAGAAGCCAGGCCGUCAGGUUUGGUGGAGUCGUCCUUGGGAUACCACCCUUGGUUUGCUGGGUUUCUAACCUGCGGCCCUGAAUCGGGUCGGGGGACACUGUUAGGCGGGCAGUUUGACUGGGGCGGUCGCCUCCUAAAGAGUAGCGGAGGCGCUCAAAGGUUGGCUCAGCAUGGAUGGAAACCAUGCAAUGAGUGUAAACGUAUAAGCCAGCCUGACUGCGAGACCGACGGGUCGAGCAGAGACGAAAGUCGGAGUUAGUGAUCCGGUGGUAUGUGAGUGGAAAUGCCAUCGCUCAACGGAUAAAAGCUACCCUGGGGAUAACAGGCUGAUCUCCCCCAAGCGUCCACAGCGACGGGGAGGUUUGGCACCUCGAUGUCGGCUCGUCGCAUCCUGGGGCUGAAUUAGGUCCCAAGGGUUUGGCUGUUCGCCAAUUAAAGCGGCACGCGAGCUGGGUUCAGAACGUCGUGAGACAGUUCGGUCCCUAUCUGUUGCGGGCGUAGGAGAUUUGAAGGGAGCUGACCUUAGUACGAGAGGACCGGGUUGGACGUACCUCUGGUGUACCAGUUGUUCUGCCAAGGGCAUGGCUGGGUAGCUACGUACGGACGAGAUAAACGCUGAAGGCAUCUAAGCGUGAAACUCUCCCUGAGAUAAGAUCUCCACUGAGGCUCGACGUAGACUAUGUCGUUGAUAGGUCAGAGGUGGAAGCACAGCAAUGUGUGUAGCUGACUGAUACUAAUAAGCCGAAAGCUUGACCA
rnacentral:rRNA from 1 species